GAUCAAUGGUUUAAUGAUAAAAUAUCUGAUUUGUAUGCAGAAGGUCCCAGGUUCAAUCCCUGACAUCACCA
rnacentral:tRNA from 1 species